rnacentral:misc_RNA from 1 species
UGGCAGCUGAGGCAGGAAGUCGAUCUUUGGAGGAAACACCCACUUGGGCAGUUGCUGUUGUUUGUUUUGUGCUGGUUUCCAUUUCAAUCUUCAUUGAAUAUAUCAUUCACUCGAUUGGGAAGUGGCUAGCAAAGAGAAAAAAACGAGCUCUAUAUGAAGCUCUUGAAAAGAUUAAAUCAGAGCUUAUGCUGCUAGGAUUCAUAUCAUUGCUCCUAACGGUAGGACAAGGGCCUAUUACAAAAAUAUGUAUACCAAAAUCCAUAGGUGAUACUUGGCAUCCAUGUAAUAAAAAGCAAGAUAGUAAAUUAAACAACCAAAGAAAGCUUCUAUCAAACUCAUCAUCAGGUUCUAAUGGCAGCGACCGAAGGAUUUUAGCUGCUGACGGGGAUAACAAAUGCGCUUCAAAGGGGAAAGUCCCAUUUGUUUCAGCAGAAGGAAUCCAUCAACUUCAUAGAUUCAUCUUCGUACUAGCACUUUAUCAUGUGAUUUAUUGCAUUAUUACACUGGCUUUAGGCAGAGCCAAGAUGAGAAAAUGGAAAAAAUGGGAAAAGGAGACAAGAACAGCUGACUACCAGUUCUCACAUGACCCAGAGAGGUUCAGAUUCACAAGAGACACUUCAUUUGGGAGAAGGCAUCUAAAUUCUUGGAGUCAUUCAUCAAUUCUUUUAUGGGUAGUCUGUUUCUUCAGACAGUUCUUUAGAUCAGUUCUUAAGGUUGAUUACUUAACCCUGAGACAUGGGUUUAUCAUUGCACAUUUGGCACCCCAUAGUCAAAUUAAGUUUGAUUUCCACAAUUACAUCAAAAGAUCACUUGAAGAAGAUUUCAAAGAUGUGGUUGGAAUCAGCCCAAUUAUGUGGUUAUUUGCGGUCGCUUUCCUAUUGUUUAAUACUCAUGGCUGGUAUUCUUAUCUAUGGCUGCCAUUCGUCCCUCUAAUUGUUAUCUUAUUGGUAGGGACAAAACUACAGGUUAUUAUAACCAAGAUGGGUCUAAGGAUUCAGGAGAGAGGAGAGGUGGUUAAGGGUACCCCUCUGGUGGAGCCAGGUGAUGACCUUUUCUGGUUCAACAGGCCUCGUCUCCUUCUUUACCUCAUACACCUUGUCCUGUUUCAGGUUAUUCUAUAUUAUCAUUAAUUAUAUGGAUUUUUUUUUUAAAUUAUUAUUGUACUCUAAUGAUAAUUAAUCUCCCUUGUACAGAAUGCCUUUCAGCUUGCUUUCUUUGCAUGGUCCUGGGUAAGCCACUGAACCAUUUUUCCAGAGAAUUGCUUCUGUAACCAAGAAAAGUCGCUAAUUUUUUUCCUUUUUUCUUUGUUUGUUAGUAUGAAUUUGGCUUGAAGUCUUGCUUGCAUGAGCACCCAGAAGAUAUAGUUAUCAGGAUAACAAUGGGGUGUGUUUCCUUGAUCAUUACAAGUCAUUACCAAGCAAUUUUUGCAUUCAACUUAGGAAAAUUUUACUAAAAUUGUGAAUUUGAGAACAGGUUAAUAAUUCAGAUACUAUGCAGCUAUGUGACCCUUCCUCUGUAUGCCCUGGUGACACAGGUAUGCUUGCUGGUUACUGCUGCUUUUGCUUUUCUCUUAAUUUAGUAAUUCAUGUACUUCAAUAAUGGAAAAUUCUGAAUUACAUCAGAUGGGUUCAACGAUGAGGCCAACAAUAUUCAAUGAGAGAGUGGCCAAGGCCUUGAGAAGCUGGCACCAGGCAGCCAGGAAGCACAUAAAACAGAGUCGACAUUCUGGUUCUGUAACAUCAACUGUACCAGGCAGCAGUACUCCAUCUCGUAGUAUGUCCCCAGCUCAUCUUCUACGAAACUACAGAUGCGAUCCUGAAAGUGUUCAAACGUCCCCGAGGAUGUCUAAUCUGUUCGAUACUGAAGCUCGUGAAAUGGACAGCCCACAAGAUCGAAAUCAUCAUUGUCCAGAACUAAGCUCCACUUAUAUUCCUCCUGUUCGAAAUGCUAAUCGCUCUCAGCUCCAAAUCGAGAUAGAAACAAGUGAUUUUUCAUUUGAUGAAAGUGGAAGGAAAUGAAAUAUUUCUGAAUCAUUGUUAACAUGCAUUACAUCCUCUCAUUUCUUCCUCUACCUCCCAAUGUAUACCGUUACUGCGCUCUUGUUAAAAUUUAGGUUAAAUUACUUUUUCAUCCUUUAUUAUGUUAAAAUUAAAACUUAUCUUCCCUUCUCAGUCCUUUCCCCAUGACCAAAAAAAAUGACAGACAAUUACUGAAAGACCAUUGAAAUGGCAAUUCAGGCUCCACAAAUUUAAGAUGGGAACCUCCCAACAAAUUGAUUGACAAUGACCAGUAUUCAUUUACGUAUUCCCUAGAAAUAUCAGUUCAUCUUUUUCUUCUUUUGAGCAAGUACCAUAUACAACAAUGAUAAACAGUUUCCUCUAAAAAAAAUUAUAAAUGGUUGACAAGGUAAUUAACUUAUUCCUUCAUGUUAUCAGCCGCAGCAGAAGCUUUGCAGAUUGGACACAAGUUUUUCAUUGAUAGCCAUUUCUUGAUGCAGCUCACAUGGUAAUCAUGCCCACAAAUUUUCAACGAACCAACAUCAUCCAUGUCUUUGUACUCUUCCAGGCAAAUCACACAAGUUCCUUCAUCCUGGCUUUGGCCUGAAGAACAAUAUACUGUUUCUGUCAAACACUUGGAUAUCAGACCUUCAGCCAACCCUGUGCUGACACUCCCAAUCCUUUCACCCAGUGCAAGUAGUUCCUCAUAGCUCAUGUUGUCUGUGUCUAGCCUCAUAUCCCUAUGCUGAUCAAACAUAUUUCUGGAUCCAUAAAAGGCUGAGCGGUCCACAACCAUAAAACCCUCAGAUGAAAAUCGAUCAUGAAGACUUGGCUCAUGGUAUCUCUCAUAAGAAUUCCUUGAUCUCCCAUUCCUAUCACUAUUA